rnacentral:rRNA from 1 species
AACGAACGCUGGCGGCAUGCCUAACACAUGCAAGUCGAACGAGACCUUCGGGUCUAGUGGCGCACGGGUGCGUAACGCGUGGGAACCUGCCCUUAGGUUCGGAAUAACUCCCCGAAAGGGGUGCUAAUACCGGAUAAUGUCUUCGGACCAAAGAUUUAUCGCCUUUGGAUGGGCCCGCGUUGGAUUAGCUAGUUGGUAGGGUAAAAGCCUACCAAGGCGACGAUCCAUAGCUGGUCUGAGAGGAUGAUCAGCCACACUGGGACUGAGACACGGCCCAGACUCCUACGGGAGGCAGCAGUGGGGAAGAUUGGACUAUGUGCGAGAGACUGAUCAAGCAAUGCCGCGUGAGUGAUGAAGGCCUUAGGGGUGUAAAGCGCUUUUACCCGGGAUGAUAAUGACAGUACCGGGAGAAUAAGCUCCGGCUAACUCCGUG